AUUGAACGCUGGCGGCAGGCCUAACACAUGCAAGUCGAGCGGAUGAAGGGAGCUUGCUCCUGGAUUCAGCGGCGGACGGGUGAGUAAUGCCUAGGAAUCUGCCUGGAAGUGGGGGAUAACGUCCGGAAACGGGCGCUAAUACCGCAUACGUCCUGAGGGAGAAAGUGGGGGAUCUUCGGACCUCACGCUAUCAGAUGAGCCUAGGUCGGAUUAGCUAGUUGGUGGGGUAAAGGCCUACCAAGGCGACGAUCCGUAACUGGUCUGAGAGGAUGAGCAGUCACACUGGAACUGAGACACGGUCCAGACUCCUACGGGAGGCAGCAGUCGGGAAUAUUGGACGAUGGGCGAAAGCCUGAUCCAGCCAUGCCGCGUGUGUGAAGAAGGUCUUCGGAUUGGAAAGCACUUUAAGUUGGGAGGAAGGGCAGUAAGUUAAUACCUUGCUGUUUUGACGUUACCAACAGAAUAAGCACCGGCUAACUUCGUG
rnacentral:rRNA from 1 species